GAAUCGGCAGCUUACCAUGCAGUCGAGGGGUAACAUUGUGCUUGCACAGAUGACGACCGGCGCACGGGUGCGUAACGCGUAUAGAACCUACCUUUUACAGAGGAAUAGCCUUUAGAAAUGAAGAUUAAUGCCUCAUAGUAUUGAGUAAUCGCAUGAUUAUUUAAUUAAAGAUUUAUCGGUAAAAGAUGGCUAUGCGUCCUAUUAGUUAGUUGGUAAGGUAACGGCUUACCAAGACAUCGAUAGGUAGGGGUCCUGAGAGGGAGAUCCCCCACACUGGUACUGAGACACGGACCAGACUCCUACGGGAGGCAGCAGUGAGGAAUAUUGGACAAUGGAGGAGACUCUGAUCCAGCCAUGCCGCGUGUAGGAAGAAUGCCCUAUGGGUUGUAAACUACUUUUAUACAGGAAGAAACACUGGUAUGUAUACCAGCUUGACGGUACUGUAAGAAUAAGGACCGGCUAACUCCGUGCCAGCAGCCGCGGUAAC
rnacentral:rRNA from 1 species